GAUGUGAAUUCACAUUUCCAGAAUUUCAGAGAGGUUUUCUUGCAACCUAAAAGGCCUUUGCAAGGACUCACAGAUGUGAUGAGAACUGAAUGCUUAGUAUGUCCCAGGACCCAUUCCAGGCCCUUUGCACAUACACUUCAUUCACUUCUCAGAGGCUCCAGUGACCAUGAGCAUCUCUACUACACCAAAGAGGAAGCUGAGGCGCCACUUGGCCAAGGGGUGAGAAGCAGACAACCACGCAAUAACCAGUCACAGGGAUGCUUCCUUUUCUUGGCUGCACGCAGAUUCCGGACUUCACCAGAAGAUGUGGUGAUUCCGAGCAAUGACCUCACCUGUGGCUGCAUCUCGUGCGCUUGCACCUGCCCGCGAGGCUGUGAUGCAUCUUCUUACCCUGGAGCCAGACACCACGGAGACCUCAGUGAAGGCCCCUGGGGACAUUUGUAGCUCUUUGGGGGCUUGGCGUCUGCAGGCCAUCCUGGGGUCGCCUCUCUUCUGCCAAACCACCCAGCUUCGCAGCAGCAGCGCAGCCUCUUUCUAAGGUAGGGUCUGGUGUGGGACAGGAGGAAAAUCACCUGCGCUGUGCUGUCUUGUCUUUUUUUUUUUUUUUUUUUUUUUGCUGAAGACAACUAUAAGGAACAAAGAUGCACUUGUUUAUCCCCCCAUUUUCCCCUCAGUGAGGCUAUAGAUAUUUAAAAGUUUUAUUUACUUUAAAGACUGAAAAAUAAUAAAAUGUAAAUUAUGAGAUGCUGGCGUUUUUUUUUUUUUUUUUUUUUUUCCUGAUCAAAGUACUCGAAUUUAUCCUAACCAUGUGUGUAAAUUUCUCAUUCCAUUAUACAACCAGAUUGUUUUCAAUUGAUCACAACUAAUGAGGGACAGGAUGAGCCAGCUGUGAUUUGUAAACUCUGGAUUUACUUGUUUUCAGCUAGAAUCCUAAUUAAACCAAGAUGGCUUGCAUAAGUUAUCUUAAUAAUGGUAUUUUAAGUUACAGUUGAACUUGCAAAAUUGCUAUGAAAUGUGCGACGGUG
rnacentral:lncRNA from 1 species